rnacentral:misc_RNA from 1 species
GAUGAAGAACGCAGCGAAAUGCGAUAAGUAAUGCGAAUUGCAGAAUCCGUGAGUCAUCGAAUCUUUGAACGCACAUUGCGCCCGCCAGUAUUCUGGCGGGCAUGCCUGUUCGAGCGUCAUUUCAACCAUCAAGCCCCAGGCUUGUGUUGGGGACCUGCGGCUGCCGCAGGCCCUGAAAACCAGUGGCGGGCUCGCUGUCACACCGGGCGUAGUAGAUUUUAUCUCGCUCAGGGCGUGCUGCGGGUUCCGGCCGUUAAAAAGCCUUUUUUACCCAAGGUUGACCUCGGAUCAGGUAGGAAGACCCGCUGAACUUAAGCAUAUCAAAAGCGGAGGA